GCGCCUGUAGCUCAGCUGGAUAGAGCAUUUGACUUCGGAUCAAAGGGUCGGGGGUUCGAAUCCUCCCGGGCGCGCCA
rnacentral:tRNA from 2 species